AAUCAUUCUGAUGAUGAUGGAGAUAUAUAAUUAGUAGAAUUAAAAACAGGCUUUGUGCUGUUAAAGGAUGGCAAGACCAACCACUGAAUAGACAAGAUUUUCUAAAGCUGAAUUUAUUGCUUAUAGGUUUUCAGAGGUAGAAGGAGUUGACAUCAUCAGUAAUACCAAAGGGGGGAAAAAACAAAUUAAAUUGAAAAUCUAUAAAAUGUUAAGAAACUGUAUGAACAGAAAAAAUAAGAUGACAGUUCAAAUAUUUUUGUUACUUUCAUUGGUAAU
rnacentral:lncRNA from 1 species